GGCAUUCUGUCUUUAUUAAACAAUGGCAAGUGCUUGAAUCAAUUGGUUGUUUGGAUCGAGUCAUCUGAAGUCAUCUAAAUCAGAGGUCCCCAGCCUUCUGGGCACCAGGGACUGGUUCCGUGGAGAGAGGUUUUUCCACGGACCGGAGGGGGCAUGGUUUUGUAUGUUACCUGCACCCCAUGGAUGGGACUUUGUUUGUGCGGCCCAUUUGCUGGCAUGCCAUGGCUCGGUACUGGUCCAUGGACUGGGGAUUGGGGACCCCUGAUCUAAAUCCCCAAUCCUGCUACUGCUGUUUUAGGCACACAAAUAAUUCCUAGUGAUAUCAUAGCAGCAUCUAUCCUAAUCUUGAUAAUUAUAUUUAUAUGCAGUAGCUACCUAGCUCAUAAACAUGACUCUGGGCAGCUUACCAUAAACACAAAUCAUAAAAGAAACAAGCAUUGAAAUUAUGCCAUAAUAAAAAAAUAUUAUUUAAAAAGACUAGGGGAGAGUAUCUUCAAUGUUACAUAUGUUUAUUUAUUCACCUUUCCAAGCACCUAACAGUCCAAAUCUGAUCUUAUUUAUUUUGACAUCUGCCAACCUUGAUGAGGUUCUGCUCUCUUUAUAAUGUUCAGAACUGCCUUCAACCUCAGAUGUACUGGACUACAAUUCCAUGAUGCCUGUCACAGUGUUCGUAUUGGGAGGUCACUUCAUUGUUACCAAUUACCCUGUAGCUCAUAUCAAAAUACAAAAUAAAACAUUCAGAAUAAAACAUAAAAUAUGUUUAAAACAGCAGAACUAUAUGUAAAAGAGAAGUACAGGAAACAAAUUAAAUAGAGGCUAAAUAAGAAAUAUUUCUGUUAAUUUACCUCUAUCAGACCUAUACAGUAGGUAUAUCUCAGCUGGACUGUUUUAUUGAAAUAAAGGAUUGUAUUGUAUGCAGUUUGGGGAUGACCACACAUGAAAUGGAUAGUUCUAAUAUGAGGGUCCCAAUUAGUUUGCCUGUCUGAUGUGCAACCCAAGAAGCCAGUCUCUCUUUCUUAUACAUCUGAUACUCAAAUAAUAUAUGUAUUAGGUCUUCUAUUGCUGGAGCUCUGCCAAUGUAAAUACAUUUCUUAUAAGGAACUUCAUUAAAUCAUCCAUAUUUAAUCAUUGUAUCCAGCAGCUCAAAUCUUGUGUUUGUAAAUACCUCCCUAAGAUGUUUUGGCAUUUCUAUUUUUAGAUAUUUGGCAAUUUGGAAGGUGCCAUUUAUAACAGCUCAUCCAUUUCAGCGAGCCAAGCUUGUUGAAGUUGGCUAUCUCUGUUGGUGCAUCUAUAUGUAUUGGUGGGCAGUAAUGUGAAUGGGGAACCAGCAUAUCCAGAAUAUAGGAUGGGGAAUGAAUAGUGAUAACAUUUACACCCUAUUGCAACGUUGUUGUUUACCUUUUUUUAAGAAUUGACACACGAUUGUGCUGUGUGGUACUAAGAUUUGACAUCAACUCGAUAACCCAAUCAGCCACCUUUAAUAGCUAUGAAUUGUUUUUAGACUGCUCAUUAUUCACAAUGGCAGUCUUUGCUGCUACGAUAGAUGUCAAUGUGGAUAUUCCAAUUACUGUACAUAAAAACUUGAGUAUAUGGGUAUCUCUUCCAAAGCAGGCCUGCUUACCAGAAUAUUAUUAGUCCACUUGAAUUUUAUCGUUUGGCUGUUUUUCCAGAAGAUCUAGAGCAAAAAUGUGGUCCUAGGAUCCUUGAGAGUUCCCCAAUAUCUUUUCGGGGGGUCCUUAAAAUCAAAAUUAUUUGCCAACUUAUGUUGAAAAAUAAUACAAUAUUAAAAUUUCAUCCAACAAUCUUGGGCAGCAGUGGCAGCAGCAAAUGGAUCAAUUUUUAAUAUGGUAAAUAAUCAAUAUAACCCAUUCAAGCAAAACAUUUUUGGGGAUCCUCUAUAACUUUUAAAAGAGGGAAGGGAUUCUGAGAGAAAAAAGUUUACCGAUCUAGGGGGUGGAAAGAGAAAUUUUGAUUUGCUUACAACUGUUCAGAUAUGCUUUGUCACUUAGGUGAAAAGUUCAAGCUCUUUUCUUCAAAAACCAAUACAUAACUAAUGCAAAACAUGCUUUAAGACUGCUUUUAAUUGAAUAGCUUUUAUAAAUAAACAAAAUAAAAAGCCCAGUAUAAAUUGAAAAGACAGGAAGGGGAAAAGGAAAGAGAAAACAAUCGUAACAAAAAAAAUAUAUCUUUAUUUAGCAUUGACUUCCCUAAACGAAAGGGAAUGCACUCUGCAUAUGCUCCGAGACAUCCAGUCCAAGGCAAUACUCAUGCUUGAAACUCCUGCCCAUUAAGCAAAUCAAACUCUGCAACCCUAAUCAACUAUACGUACAAACCAUAUGGUGAAUCCAAAGAACAUAUAACCAUCUCCCGAAGCGAAAAUGCAAAGAACGAGCAGCGGCCGUGAUGAGAAGAGGCAAAGCCAUCUUUAUGGCCUUUGCCAGGACUCCCGUGUAAAGAAUACAUUCCGUCUGAACGGAGGAUCCCAGCUCGGCUUUUGAAAGCAACGAUCCCCCCAGGACCGGCUUUUUCAAAAUCCAUUUGCUCUCCCCGGUGAGGAAAGCGCGUCGCUCCCCGUUAAGUGCAAGCGUAGCAAUUCCGCCGCUCCCGCUUGCAAGCCGGCGCUGCAGUCCGGUCCUCCGCCGUUGCCUCCAACUCUCCACCCCCCUUCCACCUUCACCUCGUGGUGGGGUUCAAAAUGGCUGCUUUCCCUCCUCCCCCUCCUGAAACUGUAAUCCGCCUCGCUCCGAGCGGCCGAAGGAAGCCGGAGCGAGGUAUUCCCCCAGAAAUCACGAGCGGCUGCCCUUUGUAUUUACGCACGGUGGGAAAUCCGGCGGUGCGAAGGGCACCCGGGCUCCUUCGCCUCGGCGGAUUAUUCUCUAUUCCCAGGGGGAACCGAGGUCCCAGGACUCGCUUCUGCGCCGUUCGGGCUUUAGAGGAAUACUCGUGCGCGGCCAGGGACCGGAGUGAAUGAGGAUCGCAACCGUUCUUGUUUCUUUUGCACGCUGUGCAGAAAAAUCGCCGCACUGGUUUGCAGGGGGAAGGUGUCGGGCGCUGCUCCUUUCGGGAUUGCAAAACUGGGGGGUGGGGGGGGGAAAGGUAGGAAGAAAAAAAAAUAGAAGAAUGUCCGCCUGCUUAGAUUGGAUCUCUCGCAAUCCUCUCCCCCCCCCCCGCGGAUCCCGAGCACGAGGCGCGUGGAACCGCGAAUGGAACGUGAAUCCGGAACCUUCCUUCCACUGGCUGCUUUUCCCUGCUGCUAGCCCGUCAGGCGCGGUGGCCAAGUGGUAAGGCGUCGGUCUCGUAAACCGAAGAUCGCGGGUUCGAACCCCGUCCGUGCCUCACGUUGGACGGCGCAGCGCCGCGGCUUGGUACGAAAGGGAACGAAGUGGGAUUUCCUUUCUCAGGCCACUUUUUACUCGGGUUCCAUAAUUGAGGAAAAAUACCAAGCGGAAAUGGAGAAAUGGGCUAGCCUGCAAAAGAUGUAAGGGUUAAAAAAAAAAAACCUGUUGGGGGAAAUGUGAGUCUGGAUUAAAGAAGCGGAUUCGGCUUGCAAAAAUAGGGAUUAACAAUCCCGAGAAGAGAAACUGAAACGUUGUUCCUAUGGGAAACUAGUGCUGCCAGGCCUGAAUUGCAGAAGUCCGAUCGAUCACCGAGAAAAAGAUACAGAAGCCGCCCCUGCCAUCUAGUGGUCGUCCGCAUAUUCCCCGCGUAAAUCUUCCAAAUUUCGAGAAGCCGAACUGCAGAAUGUCGGGACCGGUGUUGGAAUGAUUCUCACCAGCGAUUUUAAAUUAAGCUGCUACAAAAAAAAGAGAACAGUAACUUGGCACUGUUUUCCCCCCGUUGUGCGGUAUUGCACGGGAAAUGCCCUUCGCUUCCAUUUUUUUCCGUAAUGGCGGGAAGGCUUGCAAAUGAAAAGCCGCAGCAGCCCACCUGCUUGGGCUCUCUCAGCCAGCCCUCUCCUCCUACAUCCGAAAGGAGAAUGGCUGGGUUGCUUUGCAAACGGGAGGAUUUCCCAACGUCGAGGCUGCGGAAUCUUCAGAAGCGCCUCAAGGCAAAUCACAACGUUGCAUUUUCUCUUUCGGGGAUGGAGGUGGGAUGGGGGGGACUUGUGCAUAUUGCCCUAAGCCUAAGAGGAGGAGAGCCGACUUUGAGAAGUCGGGUCAUGAUGGAUGCCAGCCUCCCCCCCCCCCCCAAAAAAAUAUCUAAGGGAACUCGGAGAACUGCACGGUCCUCUUGAAUUAGGGGAUUGAUCUAACGGAAAGCUUUGCCCUCCGACCGACGCGGGGUAGUUCCGCGCUUGCUAAUCUGGAGGAGUCUCGGGCUCCCGUUUUAAACACGGCGGUUGUGGUUGCACUGCGCGCGGGAGCGCGCGCCGCAGAAAGCCAUGCCGGAAGCAGCCGCUGAGGAGAAGGAAGAAAAGCGCCUUUUUUUUCUUCCUCCUCCCAGUCGAGUCCGCGUGACGAGAUCAUUAAUGCAGUACUCGGUUUUCCCCAACCAACCAAUUGCCGCGUGCUUCAUUGCCGGAUUCGGGGAAAGCCCCUCUGUCCUCGGGUGCUGUUUGCUAGAAAAGUAUGUUAGUAUGCUUCAGACGUGAGUUGUGCCUCGAGCACGCAAAAGGAAGGCACGAGUCGGAAUUCGGCGCGGGAGCCGUAGAUGAGCCAAUCUGGUUCUAGUGGGGAAGGGUGCUGGCCCAGAAACCAGGAGGUGUGACCUUUGAUACUAUUGACCAUAACCAGCUACAUGGUUCGGGAACUGAGAGGCCCAAUGUUGCAGUGGUUCUCCCUUCAUCACGGCUGAUUCCAGUCAGUGUUGACAGUAGAGAGCUGGAGCCUGCGAUCCCUAACCUGUAGGGUGCCCACAAGGCUCAACUCGCUUGAUUUUCUUUUUUGUAAAAAGUAUUUUUUAUUGAAGAUUUUUUUUACAAAGUAAAAAGAUAAACAUGAAAAAUAUAGAAGUAAGAAAUAUACAGUGCUGAGAAAAAGAGAAACCAAAGAAGCUACUUCCAAUCUUCUCUACAGCAGUUAUAUACCUAAUACUGUUCCCCUCUUUCAAUUCAUCCCACACACAAGCCUUUUUAAUCGAUAUAUAAAUCACUUUUCAAAUAAAAUCAAAUCAUUUUUAUCAAUUUUCAGCAAAAAAAGUCUAGUGUUUUUUUAUAUAUAUAAAAGUAGUUGUUGCUACCACUCUAAUCAAACAAGUUAUUUUAGCAAUUUCUGCAAAUUCCACCAUCUUCACAGUCUACUCUGUUGUGGCUAUUUCUGUGUUCUUCCAUUUUUGUGCCUAUAAUAAUCUCACUGUUGUUACCACAUAUAAAAUCAACUGUUCAUGAAUAUUUUCUAAUAGACUUUUCAUAAGUCCUAGUAAAAAAAUUGUAGUUUCAAUAAUUUUGACUCUCUCGUUUAACAUUUAUAUAAAACCUCUGGGCAACACUAUCCAUUGAGGCCAUGUUUGAUCAGUAUGAUGAUGAUGAUACUCAGCUGUAUUUCUCAACCCCUGGUGUUGCAGUCAAGACCUUUUCCCAGCAAUUGGAAGCUGUUGGGUCUAAAGCAGGGGGAGGGGAGGAACCUUGACUUUUACACAGAUUAUAUGUUACAUAUAAUUGGAACCCUUUCCUGGAAUGAGAGCUUCUCAUAGUUACUUAUGUCAUGGUCACCUUGUGCAUAGAGUAUUGCAAUGUGCUCUACAUGGGUGUGCUCUUGAAGACCACAUGUAAGCUGUGGCCAGUCCAGAAUGUAGUGGGGUGAGCAAUUAUGAACCCAUCAGUGUGCACCUGUUAACACUUCUGGCAUUUGAAGUAUUCUGAACGGAGUUCAAGGUGCUGGUUCCCACCUAUAAAGCCCUUCAUGACACAGGGCCUGAAUAUUUGGCAAGAAGGGUAUGUUGUGGACCUUGUCAGCCAAAGAAUUCUGAUUGGUAGGGUCCAGUAAUAAGAGCCUCCUCUGCUGUUGCCACCAUUUUGUGGAACAGUCAUUGCCCGGCCUUCAGGAAAGGUGUUAAAAUGUGGCCCUGCCAUCUUGCUUAGGGUGCAGAGCAUUUGUCUGUGGGACUGAUUAGCGCCUGAAAGCCCUCCUUCCACUUUUAACAUUGUCUUUUUAAAUUUUAUAUACAUAAAUAUUUUUAAUAUUUUGUUUGUACACUACCCAGAGUCCUUCUGUGAGGAAGAUGAGCAAUUUUAAAAGUUUGAUAAUAAAUAAAAAUUUCUCCUUGUUGCAGAAGUUUCAACAGAGCAGGUAUACUUUGUGUGUGCAUUAAGCACAGUCUCUGAUGGGACUCAGAGAGUGCAUUUUCUCUUUUAUAAUGCCUGCCCUUCAGAGUAGCAUCUCUCCAGAGCUUCAAGCUGUUCUGACUGUAACCCUAGGGUGAUGAUGAUUCUAUGGGUCAGGUCUUUCCACAUCUUUCGAUCUUGCACUGCUUCUUCAAGUUUUUCUAUGCUCUGGCUGGUGUCAGCUUUGAUGGUGUCCAGCUACCAAGUUCUUUGAUGGCCUGGUUUCUUUUACCACUAACACUUCCAAGUUUGUUCCAGUUCCCCUCCUUUGACGUGGCCAAAUAAGUGAAACAUAGUUUUGUGAUUUUUGCCUUCCUAUUGACAAGGUGUUAUGCACUCCAGUACUUGUUUGUUAUGGUGUUAUGCACUCCAGUACUUGUUUGUUAGUCACCUUUGCUGUCCAAGGAAUAGACCUUAGGAUACCACUGCAGAUUAAAAAUGUUAAUAUAAAUUUGUUAGCUACUUUCAGUGCUGUUGUGGAAAGGCAGGAUAAACAUAUUUUGAAUAAUUAAGGAAGUACUGAACACCAAAUUGAAGUUGCAUUCUUAAUUUCUAGACCAUUCUUUAUCACUGUGGAUUAAGAAAAAAACAUGCCCUCUGUAGUCAAGAUGUCAUGUUCUUCAUGAAACUGGAAAUCAGAAUGAUAGCGGGAAGAGUACAAAUAGGCCUGCCCCUUUUUUACCCAGUGAGGAACUGGGUCUUACUUACCACUAGACCAAGAGCCGUGGUGGCGCAGUGGUUAGAAUGUAAUAUUGCAGGCUGACUCUGCCAACUGCCAACAGUUUGAUCUUGACCAGCUCAAGGUUGACUCAGGCUUCUAGCCUUCUGAGGUCAGUAAAAUGAGGACCCAGAUUGUUGGGGGCAAUAUGCUGAUUCUGUAAGCUGCUUAGAGAGGGCUGUAAAGCAUUACGAAGCAGUAUAUAAGUCUAAGUGCUAUUGCUAUUUGGCUACCUAAAAUCUACCGAAUUCCUAACAACCAAAGCAAAUUCUGGAGAGGGUAAAACAAGCCAUCUACUCUUGCACAGAAUUUCUUGGACUUUUGCAAGAACUCCUGGAAUUUGACUUCAUUGGUUUUCUGCAAGAUUGGACAAGAAGCACCUUUUCUUUAUGGUAAUGGUAUAUGGUAAUGGUAUCGGUUGAUUCAAACAACAACUGGAGCUCUACUGGUAGUAUCAAAACCCUUAGAGUUUUCUCCUUUGCAUAUUAUUCUGCUAUCUCUCAAAGGGAAUCCUAUUCCCAAUCCUGUUAAUACACAUAAAUCUGUGAAUACAAGAAAAGAGAUGAAAGUCUCUUAUAGCUGAGUCCCAUAGUAUAUAUCAACUGCAGGCUUUCUUGUUUGGUCUUGUGGCCAAACCUGGAGUGAGAUGCAGUAGUACUGAGUUUCAUUUAUUUUAUUUUUCUCCCACUGUUGUUAUUGUUUAUAAAUAACUCAAAGCUGUGACAUACCUAAUCCUUCUUCCUCUUCCUAUUUUCCCCACAACAACCACCCUGUGAGGUAGGUUUGGCUGAGCGUGACUGGCCCAAAAUCCCCCAGCCAGUUUUCCAUGCUUAAGGCCAGGAGUAGAACUCAUGGUCUCAUGGUUUUCUAGCCCGAUGCCUUAACCACUAGACUAGACCAAACUGUGCCAUUGUUGAAUGUGAAGGAAAUGAAGAGAGUCACUUUUUUUAAAUUCAGCUGAAUGGGAAGUAAUUUACCUCUUGGGCAGAAUCCAGCCUGCCAGGUUUCAGUAAAAUUGUUUCAGAACGUUUUCAGUUACUCUUCCUUAAAAUCUGGCUUUUUGUCCAUGAGGGGGAUGUGUCUAUAGCUCUGUUGUUUGGGGAUAUAAUUUGUUUUUAAAAUGUAGCAAAUGUAGUCUUUCCUGUGGGGAACCACUGCCAAGUUUCAGACAGAUGGAUUUUGGUGCAAAUGGAAGUGAUUAUAUCAAUGUUUAUUAAUGACUCAUCACUUGUGUAAUAGAAGGACUUGUACUGAAAGAUGUUCCCUUUCAUUACAUCCUUAUCCAGCCCUGCGAGCAACAGAUAACCAGAGGGGCUGGACUUUUACUGCCACAGACUUUCAGUCUUACAGCCAGGUUAGAAGUAAAAGAUCUUAUGCCUGGGUAGCAUAAAAAGGAAAAUAAAGUCUGAAUUAUUGGAAUGUUUAUUCCAAUCCACAUGAAGCUGUAGGUGAGGAUAAAACUCUUCCUGGGUGAUUAAGCACCAACAUAAACAGGAUGUUGAUAGAACUAUAUAAGACAGCACAGAAAAGAGAUUGUAUGGAUGAAAUUACCAAUAAAUCUAAACAACUGAGUCAAAAGGGGAGGGAUACUAAUAACAAUAGUAAUAAAAACAAGAAGUUGGUUAAGGAAGGCCGAAAUGUCUAAUAUUAGUAGGUCUUCCAUGAAAAAAGAAUCAAGUGAAUUAGGGGAAAUUUUCUGGAGGAGGAAGCAAUCAAUUCCAUAACAUUUUAAAAACCACUGAACACAGUGAGCCAAAACAGGCCGUAACUUGAACAAUAUGCCAAACUGCAGAAGGAAGAAACCUGCAGAGCAAAUCAGGCAAGUCCCCAGUGGACUUGCAAGUACUCCUGUCUCCUUCAGUACCAUCAGUUGUUUGAGAAAGCAUUUUUUCUUAAACCACACCCCCCCCCCAUUUCCAAAAAUAGAGGAAAGGACCAGAUUGUUAGGAAUGUCCAAAUCUGGACUGAAGCUGAAUGGACUGGGCCCACUUCCUUCAAGGCAGAGGUCUUCAAACUUGGCAACUUUAAGACUUGUGGACUUCAAUUCCCAGAAUUUCUCAGCCAGCCAUCCAAAAGAUCUUACCAAAGUACCUCGCUCUUCUGCUUCCUAUGCACAACGCUUGUGGGUCUUCAGGCAGAUUCUUGGAAGUUAAACUUUGAUCAGGUUUAGCAGAUCAGAUUACAUGAGGAAGGAAUAAAGUAACAGCCUAUUCUCCAUGGAGGGGAGACUAGCAGUUUACAAUGUCUUAGAACAUUUUUUAUGUCAUAAAUACACAAAACACAAAGUUGUAGAAUAUUGCAGUAAUAAAUAUUGAGGUAGCUGCCAAGUGAAGCCAGUCUCACAAGGGCAAACACUUAACAAAAACUGCUCAAAGUGUUUCUCUGCUCUUCUCCAGGAAGCCUUCCACCAGCACCAGAAUGGAUUGGCAAGGACAGGUGAGGGAUCAGGGUAGGCUCAAGUUGCUGUCACUCUUAAACUGCAAGAGUCAGGUUUGGGUAAAGGCUUUAGAUGUGCCUCAUAAUCAGGCCUGCAAAUCUGAUUAAGGACAACUAUUAAUUUAAAAGUCUCACUAACAAUUUAAAAAAAAAA